GUCGGGAUGGCCGAGCGGUCUAAGGUGCUGUGCUCAAGUCGCAGCCUCCCAUGGAGGUCGUGGGUUUGAAUCCCACUCCUCACA
rfam:Buceros rhinoceros silvestris contig70038, whole genome shotgun sequence.